rnacentral:rRNA from 1 species
GGAUUAGAUACCCUGGUAGUCCACGCCGUAAACUAUGGACGCUAGCUGUAAGAAGUAUCGACCCUUCUUGUAGCGAAGCUAACGCGUUAAGCGUCCCACCUGUGGAGUACGGUCGCAAGACUAAAACAUAAAGGAAUUGACGGGGACCCGCACAAGCGGUGGAGCGUGUUGUUUAAUUCGAUGGUAAGCGAAGAACCUUACCCAGGCUUGACAUCCUACUAAUUUCUCCGAAAGGAGAGAGUGCCUUCGGGCCGUAGAGACAGGUGUUGCAUGGCCGUCGUCAGCUCGUGCCG